rnacentral:rRNA from 1 species
UACGAAGGGGACUAGCGUUGUUCGGAUUUACUGGGCGUAAAGCGCACGUAGGUGGCGACGUAAGUCGGGUGUGAAAGCCCCGGGCUCAACCUGGGAAUUGCAUUCGAGACUGCAUUGCUGGAGUACGGAAGAGGAGGGCGGAAUUCCCGGUGUAGCGGUGAAAUGCGUAGAUAUCGGGAGGAACAUCAGUGGCGAAGGCGGCCCUCUGGUCCAGUACUGACACUCAAGUGCGAAAGCGUGGGGAGCAAACAGG